CACGUAGGGUGCGAGCGUUGUCCGGAAUUAUUGGGCGUAAAGAGCUCGUAGGCGGUGUGUCGCGUCGGCCGUGAAAACCUGCAGCUUAACUGUGGGCGUGCGGUCGAUACGGGCAUCACUGGAGUUCGGCAGGGGAGACUGGAAUUCCUGGUGUAGCGGUGAAAUGCGCAGAUAUCAGGAGGAACACCGGUGGCGAAGGCGGGUCUCUGGGCCGAUACUGACGCUGAGGAGCGAAAGCGUGGGUAGCGAACAGG
rnacentral:rRNA from 1 species